UGCCAGCCGCCGCGGUAAUACGGAGGGCGCAAGCGUUGUUCGGAAUCACUGGGCAUAAAGAGCACGUAGGCGGUCUAUUAAGUUGGGUGUGAAAGCCCUCGGCUCAACCGGGGAACUGCAUCCAAUACUGGUAGACUAGAGGAAGGCAGGGGUGAGUGGAACUCCAGGUGGAACGGUGAAAUGUGUAGAUAUCUGGAGGAACACCGGUGGCGAAAGCGGCUCACUGGGACGGAACUGACGCUGAUGAACGAAAGCUAGGGUAUCAAACGGGAUUAGAUA
rnacentral:rRNA from 1 species